rnacentral:rRNA from 1 species
GAUAUGAACCGUUAUAACCGGCGAUACCCGAAUGGGGAAACCCAGUGUGACUCGUCACACUAUCAUUAACUGAAUCCAUAGGUUAAUGAGGCGAACCGGGGGAACUGAAACAUCUAAGUACCCCGAGGAAAAGAAAUCAACCGAGAUUCCCCCAGUAGCGGCGAGCGAACGGGGAGGAGCCCAGAGCCUGAAUCAGCAUGUGUGUUAGUGGAAGCGUCUGGAAAGGCGCGCGAUACAGGGUGACAGCCCCGUACACAAAAGCGCAUGUGCUGUGAGCUCGAUGAGUAGGGCGGGACACGUGGUAUCCUGUCUGAAUAUGGGGGGACCAUCCUCCAAGGCUAAAUACUCCUGACUGACCGAUAGUGAACCAGUACCGUGAGGGAAAGGCGAAAAGAACCCCGGCGAGGGGAGUGAAAAAGAACCUGAAACCGUGUACGUACAAGCAGUGGGAGCACCCUUUGGGUGUGACUGCGUACCUUUUGUAUAAUGGGUCAGCGACUUAUAUUCUGUAGCAAGGUUAACCGAAUAGGGGAGCCGGAGGGAAACCGAGUCUUAAC